rnacentral:rRNA from 1 species
GACGAACGCUGGCGGCGUGCCUAAUACAUGCAAGUAGAACGCACAGUUUAUACCGUAGCUUGCUGCACCAUAGACUGUGAGUUGCGAACGGGUGAGUAACGCGUAGGUAACCUGCCUGGCAGCGGGGGAUAACUAUUGGAAACGAUAGCUAAUACCGCAUAAUAUUAAUUAUUGCAUGAUAAUUAAUUGAAAGGUGCAAUUGCACCACUACCAGAUGGACCUGCGUUGUAUUAGCUAGUAGGUGAGGUAACGGCUCACCUAGGCGACGAUACAUAGCCGACCUGAGAGGGUGAUCGGCCACACUGGGACUGAGACACGGCCCAGACUCCUACGGGAGGCAGCAGUAGGGAAUCUUCGGCAAUGGACGAAAGUCUGACCGAGCAACGCCGCGUGAGUGAAGAAGGUUUUCGGAUCGUAAAGCUCUGUUGUAAGAGAAGAACGGGUGUGAGAGUGGAAAGUUCACACUGUGACGGUAUCUUACCAGAAAGGGACGGCUAACUACGUG